rnacentral:lncRNA from 1 species
UGAGCUGCUAUGGGGAUGCUGCGAGUCAAACCCAGGUCUUCUGUAAGGGCAGCUGGUCCUCUUGGCUGCUGAAUCAUUAUCUUUCUAGCCCUGGUUUUGUUUUUGAGAUAGAGUCUCACUAUAUGCAGCUACAGCUGACCUAGAACUCAUUGUGUAGGCCAGACUGGUCUCAAAUUCACAAGAGAUCUGCCUGCCUCUGCCUCCUGAGUGGUUGGAUUAAAGUUGUGAGCCACCAUGCCUGGCUUUUGAACCUUAACGUUAAUGAAGUUCAGGUCAUAGGUUAGGUCUAGUUUGAUAUUUCCAGUCUUGAUAAACACUGCACUUUUACACAAGUCAUCACUGGAGAGUUCACUGACACCCAAGUUUCAAGAAGUCCUCUCUGGAAUCUCAGGUCCUGUCCAGACAUUGAUUGGUCUCAUCUUGCAGUCAGGAUUUUUUUUAAAGUCAAAUCUAUCUGUUAAUGACCUUGAGUCUUUUGUUGUUUUAAGCUGAGCUGCAGUGCUUGGAACAUGGCUCACCUGGUAAAGGUGCUUGUCACCAAGCCUAAUGACCUGAGUUUGAGCCCCAGGACCUGUGUAGCAAAAGGAGAAAGCUGACCCCACCAAGCUGUCCUCUGACCUCUGACCUCUAGCUCCACAAUACAUGUCAAAAAUAAUACAUUCAUAUAUACAUACAUACAUACAUACAUACAUACCAAAGCUGAGUUGCAAAGUCAAAUGACAUGACAUGUCACCUUUUAAAAAUGUAUACUUAGUAGUUACCAGGUUGUACAGCCUUCCCGAGCCCAGAAUCUGCUGCCCCUUUCCCUCAAACCCCAAGCCUGUCUGUCCACUUGCAGUUGCUCCCCACUUGUGGGUGUUUCUCAACCUUGGUAGCAGCUUGCCAGUUCUCUGAGUUUGCCUGUUCUGGGCAUUGUGUGUAAGUGGAAGCCUAGAAUAUGUAGUCUUCCAUGCUCCUUUCUUUUGUUUUACCUGUUUUCAAAGUUGAGGUCAGACAGUGUCAAUGCUUCAUCCUUUUUAUGGCUGCAUAAUAUUCCAUUUCAGGAGUAUACUACAUUCUGUUGAUCUGCUCAUCUGCUCGUCAUGCUCCUUUCUUUUGUUUUACCUGUUUUCAAAGUUGAGGUCAGACAGUGUCAAUGCUUCAUCCUUUUUAUGGCUGCAUAAUAUUCCAUUUCAGGAGUAUGCUACAUUCUGUUGAUCUGCUCAUCUGCUCGUAUCACUAUGUAUUUUCACAUAUUUCAUACUGUGAAUAACGUUUGGCAUAUUUGUAUAUAAGCUUUUGUGUGAGCAGGUGUUACAUAUUAUUUUGGUGUGCAUAUGGGCAUUCACUACAUAGGCUGUUGGCUUUGAACUCUGAGCAGUUUUCCUCCUUGGCCUUUAAGUGCUGGGAUUGCAGGUGCAUGCCACCACACUUGGCGAUGACAUGUAACUUUAAUCUUUUCAGGUGUAAAACUGGGAGUGGAAUUACUUGGACAUAUGAUAAGUUGGUAUAGUUUGAAUAUAUAAUUAUUUUAUAUAAAGAGAAUUAGCUGGGCAGUGGUGGCACAUGCCUUUGAUCCAGCACUUGGGAGGCAGAGACAGGCAGAUUUCUGAGUUCCAGGCCAGCCUGAUCUACAAAGUGAGUUCCAGGACAGUCAGGGCUACACAGAGAAACCCUGUCUC